rnacentral:tRNA from 1 species
GCCGAAGUGGCGGAACUGGUAGACGCGCUAGGUUCAGGGUCUAGUGGGGGUAGCCCCGUGGGGGUUCGAGUCCCCCCUUCGGCACCA